ACCCGCUGAACUUAAGCAUAUCAAUAAGCGGAGGAAAAGAAACUAACAAGGAUUCCCCUAGUAACGGCGAGUGAAGCGGGAAAAGCUCAAAUUUGAAAUCUGGCAGCCUCAGGUUGUCCGAGUUGUAAUCUAUAGAAACGUUUUCCGCGCCGGCCCAUGUACAAGUCCCUUGGAAUAGGGCGUCAUAGAGGGUGAGAAUCCCGUCCUUGACACGGACCACCGGUGCUUUGUGAUACGUUUUCAACGAGUCGAGUUGUUUGGGAAUGCAGCUCAAAAUGGGUGGUAAAUUCCAUCUAAAGCUAAAUAUUGGCGAGAGACCGAUAGCGAACAAGUACCGUGAGGGAAAGAUGAAAAGCACUUUGGAAAGAGAGUUAAACAGUAUGUGAAAUUGUUGAAAGGGAAACGAUUGAAGUCAGUCAUGUCUAUUGGACUCAGCCGGUUCUGCCGGUGUACUUCCUUUAGAUGGGGUCAACAUCAGUUUUGAUCGCUGGAAAAGGGCGGGAGGAAUGUAGCACUCUCGGGUGAACUUAUAGCCUUCCGUCGUAUACAGUGGUUGGGACUGAGGAACGCAGCAUGCCUUUAUGGCCGGGGUCCGCCCACGUACAUGCUUAGGAUGUUGACAUAAUGGCUUUAAACGACCCGUCUUGAAACACGG
rnacentral:rRNA from 1 species